CACCACAGUCUGGUCUGCAGAUUCCUGCGUCCCUGGAUUAAGCUACCCAGGUGAUCCCAGAGGAACCAUGACAAAGGAUUAAGAUCAGUUUUGGUCAAAUGAUGUCUCACCUACCUGGCCAACAAGUCAAUAAGUUCAAGUUUUGACAUCCCAUCAGGAAGCAGUCGAGGAAUAGCAGCAACACAGCCACAAAAGAAAUGAAGAAUGGAGAUUGAGUAACACAAAAUACUCAAUGUUCAAGUUCAAACCUUAAACCAGGGCCUGGGAACAUGGUGGACAACCUCAAAUGCCAGUUCAGAUGACUGUUCCCAUUAGUGCUGUGUGGUCUCCACCCUCUUCCCCUAAAUGCUUAUAUGAUUCUCUAACAUUUCUCUUUGUUCUUUUUAAGAAAUGAAGCAAUGAGUGAUUUUCCACUCUGGGAUCUACUUUAUAGUCUAACAUGAAAACUAUUCCUAGCCUUAUUUGGGGGAAUCUUAAAAUGGAUGAAUAGGAAAAAGAAGAAUCUAGAAGAAAAUGUGAAGCAUUAAUUAAAACUUAAGUAGAAUAUUUGUAUUUAUAUUUAAGCCUAUACAUGUUUGAAUAUAUUGUUUUGGACUUGAAUCUACCGUCUGAUGUUUCCUGAAUAUAACUAUGAUUUUCCUUUAAAGCUCUUUAAUUCUUUAAUAUUUUAAAUAGGAAACAACUAUAUGGAAGAAAUUUUGAAAGUAUUUCUUAUGUUUUCUACAGGAUAUAUAAAAAUAUCUUUAAAAUAUUCAAGGAAUAUGGAAUAAUGAGGUUAAAGUCUUAUUCAUAAUCUGUUAACUUAUGAGGCAAGAACUAAAAAGCUAAAGAAGUAUUUUUAAUGUUAUCAGUCUUGUUCAAUCUCAAUUUUGUUAUUAUUUUGAUUGAAAAGUCUACAGUGAUAUGGCCUCCAUGUGGUUUAAUCAAAUGUUUGGCAAGCUAUAGGGUAAUAUACAUUGUAUAUUUUUGUUUUUACCAAAAAAAUAAAAAUGAAAGAAAGAAAAAAGUGCAGAUUGUCCCCAGUUUAGUAAUUUUUGACUUUACCACAGUGUGAAAGUGAGUUACAUUCAGUAGAAACUGCUUGGAACUUAGAAUUUGGAUAUUUUCCAG